AUGGCUGUCGUCAGCUCGUGUCGUGAGAUGUUGGGUUAAGUCCCGCAACGAGCGCAACCCCUAUCCUUAGUUGCCAGCACAUUAUGGUGGGGACUCUAAGGAGACUGCCUGGGAUAACCAGGAGGAAGGUGGGGAUGAUGUCAAGUCAGUAUGUCCCUUAUGUCCAGGGCUACACACGUGUUACAAUGGUUGGUACAGAGGGCAGCUAAGCCGCAAGGUGGAGCCAAUCCCCCAAAACCAACCCCAGUUCGGAUUGGAGUCUGCAACUCGACUCCAUGAAGCAGGAAUCGCUAGUAAUCGUGGAUCAGAACGCCACGGUGAAUACGUUCCCGGGUCUUGUACACACCGCCCGUCACGCCAUGGAAGUCAGUAGUACCCGAAUCGGGUGGCCCAACCUUAGGGAGGGAGCUCGUUAAGGUAAGACUGGUAACUGGGGCGAAGUCGUAACAAGGUAGCCGUACCGGAAGGUGCGGCUGGAUCACCUCCUUUUAAAGGAGUAUCUCGGAGCGAUCCGAGAGAGGUCGAACCGGUAAUCGGUUAGACCGUCGCAUACUAUAGAAUUAUGGGCUUGUAGCUCAGGUGGUUAGAGCGCAUCCCUGAUAAGGAUGAGGUCCGUGGUUCGAGUCCACGCAGGCCCACUUGAAUUACAACCCUUAAAAAAUUAUGGGGCUGUAGCUCAGUUGGGAGAGCGCCUGAUUUGCAUUCAGGAGGUCGCAGGUUCGAUCCCUGUCAGCUCCACAGCAUUAAAAAUUUUAGUUUUUUGACAAUUUGGAAAUUGGAAAGAUUGAAUCACCUGUCCGGUGAUUCAAUGUAGCCAAGUCAUCUUCAAGAACAACACUUUGGUAAAGCUACUAAGGGUGUACGGGGGAUGCCUAGGCACAUGGAGACGAUGAAGGACGUGAUAAGCUGCGAUAAGCCUCGGGUAGGUGCAAAUAACCUUAGAUCCGAGGAUGUCCGAAUGGGGAAACCCGG
rnacentral:sRNA from 1 species